rnacentral:lncRNA from 1 species
GGGUGAAAGGUGGUAGCAAACUUAGCUUUGAUAAUCCAAGGAGAAAGUUUCAAUAAGCACUCAGUGACACUGCAAUUAUCAGGAAGAGAAGAAAAAUGGAAAAGAAGACUUCAGAAAUAGCAGCAUAGAUGACAUACAGCACAGGUCUUAGCUGGGUCAGUUACGUGUCCACUGUGUCCCCAGGAACCACAAGCAUCAAGUGUCUAGCGGUGGCUGCUCAACUGGCAAAGA